AUUGAACGCUGGCGGCAGGCCUAACACAUGCAAGUCGAGCGGAUGACGGGAGCUUGCUCCUUGAUUCAGCGGCGGACGGGUGAGUAAUGCCUAGGAAUCUGCCUGGUAGUGGGGGACAACGUUUCGAAAGGAACGCUAAUACCGCAUACGUCCUACGGGAGAAAGCAGGGGACCUUCGGGCCUUGCGCUAUCAGAUGAGCCUAGGUCGGAUUAGCUAGUAGGUGAGGUAAUGGCUCACCUAGGCGACGAUCCGUAACUGGUCUGAGAGGAUGAUUAGUCACACUCGAACUGAGACACGGUCCAGACUCCUACGGGAGGCAGCAGUGGGGAAUAUUGGACAAUGGGCGAAAGCCUGAUCCAGCCAUGCCGCGUGUGUGAGGAAGGUCUUCGGAUUGUAAAGCACUUUAAGUUGGGAGGAAGGGCAGUAAGUUAAUACCUUGCUGUUUUGACGUUACCGACAGAGUAAGCACCGGCUAACUUCGUGCCAGCCGCCGCCGUAAGAC
rnacentral:rRNA from 1 species